GACGAACGCUGGCGGCGUGCCUAAUACAUGCAAGUUGAGCGCUGAAGGUUGGUACUUGUACCAACUGGAUGAGCAGCGAACGGGUGAGUAACGCGUGGGGAAUCUGCCUUUGAGCGGGGGACAACAUUUGGAAACGAAUGCUAAUACCGCAUAAAAACUUUAAACACAAGUUUUAAGUUUGAAAGAUGCAAUUGCAUCACUCAAAGAUGAUCCCGCGUUGUAUUAGCUAGUUGGUGAGGUAAAGGCUCACCAAGGCGAUGAUACAUAGCCGACCUGAGAGGGUGAUCGGCCACAUAGGGACUGAGACACGGCCCAAACUCCUACGGGAGGCAGCAGUAGGGAAUCUUCGGCAAUGGACGAAAGUCUGACCGAGCAACGCCGCGUGAGUGAAGAAGGUUUUCGGAUCGUAAAACUCUGUUGGUAGAGAAGAACGUUGGUGAGAGUGGAAAGCUCAUCAAGUGACGGUAACUACCCAGAAAGGGACGGCUAACUACGUG
rnacentral:rRNA from 1 species